AUUGAACGCUGGCGGCAGGCCUAACACAUGCAAGUCGAGCGGGAACUUCGGUUCUAGCGGCGGACGGGUGAGUAAUGCGUAGGAAGCUACCCGACAGAGGGGGAUACCAGUUGGAAACGACUGUUAAUACCGCAUAAUGUCUACGCACCAAAGUGUGGGACCUUCGGGCCACAUGCUGUCGGAUGCGCCUACGUGGGAUUAGCUAGUUGGUGAGGUAAUGGCUCACCAAGGCGACGAUCCCUAGCUGGUUUGAGAGGAUGAUCAGCCACACUGGAACUGAGACACGGUCCAGACUCCUACGGGAGGCAGCAGUGGGGAAUAUUGGACAAUGGGCGAAAGCCUGAUCCAGCCAUGCCGCGUGUGUGAAGAAGGCCUUCGGGUUGUAAAGCACUUUCAGUAGGGAGGAAGAGUUGAGUGUUAAUAGUACUCAGCUUUGACGUUACCUACAGAAGAAGCACCGGCUAACUCUGUGCCAGCCGCCGCUGUAAAAC
rnacentral:rRNA from 1 species